GACAGAGGGUGCAAACGUUGUUCGGAUUUACUGGGCGUAAAGCGCGUGUAGGCGGCUUUGCAAGUCGGAUGUGAAAGCCCACGGCUCAACCGUGGAAGUGCACCCGAAACUGCAAAGCUAGAGUCUCGGAGAGGAUCGUGGAAUUCUCGGUGUAGAGGUGAAAUUCGUAGAUAUCGAGAGGAACACCGGUGGCGAAGGCGGCGAUCUGGACGAUGACUGACGCUGAGACGCGAAAGCGUGGGGAGCAAACAGG
rnacentral:rRNA from 1 species